GACAGAGGGUGCAAACGUUGCUCGGAAUUACUGGGCGUAAAGCGCGUGUAGGUGGAUUGGUGUGUCAGAUGUGAAAGCCCUGGGCUCAACCAGGAAUUGCACCUGAAACUACCAGUCUUGAGUGGUGGAGAGGGAAGUGGAAUUCCUGGUGUAGAGGUGAAAUUCGUAGAUAUCAGGAGGAACACCAGUGGCGAAGGCGGCUUCCUGGACACCAACUGACGCUGAGACGCGAAAGCGUGGGGAGCAAACAGG
rnacentral:rRNA from 1 species